GAAGAAACGUUUUCUGCAUCCAGGAUUAGCCUAAAUCCUUUGGGAUAAGGUAUCAUGGAGGGUGAGAAUCCCGUUCAUGGUUAAUCUUAAGGAAGCUCUACGAUACGUUUUCCAAGAGUCGAGUUGUUUGGGAUUGCAGCUCAAAAUGGGAGGUAAAUUUCUCCUAAGGCCAAAUAUUGGCGAGAGACCGAUAGCGAACAAGUACCGUGAGGGAAAGAUGA
rnacentral:rRNA from 1 species